rnacentral:rRNA from 1 species
CCUACGGGCGGCAGCAGUGAGGAAUAUUGGUCAAUGGGCGUAAGCCUGAACCAGCCAAGCCGCGUGAGGGAUGAAGGUUCCAUGGAUCGUAAACCUCUUUUAUCAGGGAACAAAAUGUGGGACGAGUACCUUUCUGUAUGUACCUUAUGAAUAAGCAUCGGCUAACUCCGUGCCAGCAGCCGCGGUAAUACGGAGGAUCCGAGCGUUUUCCGGAUUUAUUGGGUUUAAAGGGUGCGUUGGCGGCCUUUUAAUUCAGCGGUGAAAGCCUGUGGCACAACCCUAGGCGUGCCGUUGAAAUUGGGGGGCUUGAGAUGUUUUGAGGCAGGCGGAAUGCGUGGUGUAGCGGUGAAAUGCUUAGAUAUCACGCAGAACCCCGAUUGCGAAGGCAGCCUGCC